rnacentral:rRNA from 1 species
ACUCCUACGGGAGGCAGCAGUGAGGAAUAUUGGUCAAUGGAGGCAACUCUGAACCAGCCAUGCCGCGUGAAGGAAGAAUGCCCUAUGGGUUGUAAACUUCUUUUAUUUGGGAAGAAACCUUUCUACGUGUAGAAAGCUGACGGUACCAAACGAAUAAGGACCGGCUAACUCCGUGCCAGCAGCCGCGGUAAUACGGAGGGUCCAAGCGUUAUCCGGAAUCAUUGGGUUUAAAGGGUUCGCAGGCGGUUUAUUAAGUCAGUGGUGAAAUCUCGGGGCUCAACUCCGAAACUGCCAUUGAUACUGAUAAACUUGAGUAUAGUUGAAGUAGGCGGAAUGUGUAGUGUAGCGGUGAAAUGCUUAGAUAUUACACAGAACACCGAUAGCGAAGGCAGCUUACUAAGCUAUUACUGACGCUCAUGAACGAAAGCGUGGGAGCGAACAGGAUUAGAUACCCUGGUAGCGACUGA